rnacentral:rRNA from 1 species
AGUUCAGACUGCAGGCUGCAACUCGCCUGCACGAAGUCGGAAUUGCUAGUAAUCGUAGGUCAGCAUACUACGGUGAAUACGUUCCCGGGCCUUGUACACACCGCCCGUCAAACCAUGAGAGUUGACAACACCCGAAGUCGGUAGUCUAACCGCAAGGAGGACGCCGCCGAAGGUGGGGUUGAUGAUUAGGGUUAAGUCGUAACAAGGUAAC